rnacentral:rRNA from 1 species
AUUGAACGCUGGCGGCAGGCUUAACACAUGCAAGUCGAGCGGAGCGAGGGUGCUUGCACCUUAGCUUAGCGGCGGACGGGUGAGUAAUGCUUAGGAAUCUGCCUAUUAGUGGGGGACAACAUUCCGAAAGGAAUGCUAAUACCGCAUACGCCCUACGGGGGAAGGCAGGGGAUCUUCGGACCUUGCGCUAAUAGAUGAGCCUAAGUCGGAUUAGCUAGUUGGUGGGGUAAAGGCCUACCAAGGCGACGAGCUGUAGCGGGUCUGAGAGGAUGAUCCGCCACACUGGGACGGAGACACGGCCCAGACUCCUACGGGAGGCAGCAGUGGGGAAUAUUGGACAAUGGGCGGAAGCCUGAUCCAGCCAUGCCGCGUGUGUGAAGAAGGCCUUUUGGUUGUAAAGCACUUUAAGCGAGGAGGAGGCUACUUAGAUUAAUACUCUGGGAUAGUGGACGUUACUCGCAGAAUAAGCACCGGCUAACUCUGUGCCAGCCGCCGCAGUAAAAC